GUGAGAGUGAGUGAGUGAGAGGCGCUGUGAGGCGGGCGGGAAAAGGGCGCGAUGUGGGGCCGGGGUGAUGGGGACAAGAUAGGAGGAGUAGUGAGGCCAGGAUGGUGAUUGUGGUAAAGUGACGGGAUUGAGGUGGCGGGGAUAAGGUGGAGCUGAGGUAGCGGGGCUGAUGUGGGGAUGAACUGAGGUGACAAGAUGGAGCUGAGGGAGUGAGGGCUGUGUGGGGCUGAGGUGAGGGAGGGUGAACUGGGGGUGAGGGAGUGGGGACAGGGGCUGUGUGGGGCUGAGGUGACGGGGGUGAGAUGGGGUUGGGAUAAUGAUGACAACAUGGGGGUGAGGUGGGAUAACUGAGGUGGUGGGGACAAUGCAGAGCUGAGCUGACAGACAAGAAGGCACUGAGGUGGUUUUGGACCACUGGGGUGAAAUGCUGGUGGAGUGAAGGGACAAAAUGGGGCUGAGGUAGUGGGGAGAUGAGGUGAGUGGGGGUGAACUGGGGGUGAGGCAGCGGGGUAAGAAUUGGGACGCUGUGGUGAUGGGGACGAGGUGGGGAUGAGGUGACUGGGAUGAGAUUGGCACUGAGGUGACUGAGGGGCUGCCUGGUGGAGCAGGAUGAUGGGUGCAGGGAGAGCACAGACCCAUCUCUGCCAUGUAAAGACAGCAGCGCCAGCCCUGCAGUGGGGACCAUGGGAAAGUGAGUGGUGAGGAGAGGCAUCCCCAUUCACCCCAAAGCACAGACUGUCAACUACCCUUGGCAUGGCACAAGUGUUUGUCACAAGUUUUAAAGAACCAGCUAUGGAGCAGUCUACAGAACGCUUGGCUCGGGCUGAGCUGCUGCAUAGCUGGAAGUCUCUGCUGAGCACGGAGCUAAAGAGUGUACUGAGGAGCCAUCUACUGGCUGCAAUAACUGAGAACAGCUCGCAGUGCCCGCCUUGAGCAGAUCUCAUCCCUUUCAAAUUGGAUAGUACCAACGUGGAUCUGCUGAAUGAAUCUUGUAAGAAAGCUGUGGGUGAAGAAAAAGAAGAAACAAGGCCUGGUGGUGAGGUGGCUGCUCAGCUUGAGAACAGAGUAAAUCUCCAUGCAGAAACUCCUGGGAAAACCCCUUCAAGUGACUGACAGCAAAACUGAAACUAUGGCCUUUCCUGCACAGAGCUGCCACAUCUGGAGCAGUGCUGCAUGCUGAUUCUGCUGAGUGAGUGCCUGCUCAAAUCAUAGCCCUGGGUAUGUUGUCUUCUGCAUCAUCAAUUUCUCAAUUUGCUGCUGGUCAAAUAAAGGCUCUCUUCCGUGCUUUUGGCUGGACUUAAAAAAACAAAUCUGUUAAAAGUUGAUUUUCCAAGGCCAUACUGGAAUUUCCCAAUGGCACCAGAAUGCACAUCAUUGUCUGCCAACACACUGCCUACGUGUUUCUUCAGCAAGAAAGUGAAUUCAGGGCUGCACUUAUUCUAAUGUUACAGGCACUGUCCUGUCAUGCAAGCACACCACAGCACUGCUGCUUUUCUUUCUUAUCUAAACUGAGGGAAAAAAGGUGAGCCUGAAAAUGAGCGAAAGAAAGGGCAUCUAGCCCUUCCCUUUCCCUUGCUGCUGAGUGGCAGCAAGUUUCACAACAAUUUGCAGCAAAAUACACAGUGCAGUAAGGCUGGAGGCAGCAUGCAAUACCUGCUGUACCUUGUGCACUGUGCUCUGCUUAGAGAGGUGGCUGCUGGUCUGAAUGAGCCCAGAAGUCCAGUGGAUUUGAGCCGUACUCUGAACAGGUUGCUGGUCUCAACCUUGUGUCUUCCUCCAGCCAUUACUUUUUUUUUAGCAUGGCCAGAAAUCCAAAUGUUCUCUGACCCCAGAAAUUUCCUUUCAGCAGAAUUAAAGGACUCAGUAUUUAUCUGGAGUUUUACCUGCUUGGUUUGGCUAUGGCUGGCUGGAAAUCCUGGGCAUUGCGUAUUGGAAAAAGCAGUUAUGCUGCCUUGGCUGAUAUGGGUCUGUGUGCCACACCCAGCAUGGAGAGAUGCCUCCUCGACCCACAGGAACUGAGAGAGAAUGUGUCCAAAGCUUGGAUGUGGCCAAAGACUGUCAUAUUGAUAUAACUGAAUCAAUACAGUGUGUGUCAACACAGCUUCUAUAUGGAGGCAACACUGAAGUAAUUAAACUCUCAGUGACUGAAUAGUUCUGGCAUCAGAUUCUAGUAGAACAGGGAAAUUCCCUUCUGUAAAACAUGGAAAUUCCUUUCUGUUGCAAGGAGUAUAAAUGACUCUCUCACUUUUCCAUACAACUACAGACAGGUUAGAAGAGAGAAACCAGCAGUCCUGGGAGGGAGCAGCAGACAGGGUCAGCGGGGUGAUAUGGCAGGAAUGGAACACAAGAUCAACAAAGCAGGGCUUAAGUGGGGUCACCUCAGGCACAUGUAUGUAAGGAAAGAAGAAAUCCCACAAACCCUUUCUAGAAAGUCUAUGCACCAGGGUACAUUUCUGAAGCCUGUGUGUUAAUACAGGAAAUAUGGGAAAUAAACAUGGUGAGUUAGAGAUAGGUGUGCAGUUGCAGGGCCACAAUCCUGUUGGGAUCACACAGAUAUGGUGAGAUGGCUCCCACAGCUGGAGUGCUGCAAUGGGCAGAGACUAGCCUUUUAGAAGGGACAGGUCAGGAAGCAGGUCAUAAGAAACCCAGGUGGUUCCUGGAGUGUGUCAACAACAACUUCCUGACUGGAAGGAUGGAGGAGCCACUAAGGAGAGGUGCUUUGUUAGAGGGUGAGGUCAAUGAGCAUCUAGUUUAUGUUACUGUUUAGUCAGUGCAACAGCAUUCACUGGGAUUGCAGAAAAGAAAUGCCCAAAACAAAACUGAAAAAUCCCUACCCCUAGGCUGUUACUACCACUUCUAAAAAUGUCUUGUGUGAAGGCAGCUAUGCUGGCAAAAUAAAAAAAGGAUUUGUUUUUUA